AACAACGGGGCCACUUGAAUGCCUUCGUGCGGCGCGCGCGGCGCCAGCAGCUUCCCCGGCGGGGUCGAUGGAUCCUGGACAGCGCUGAGCCCGCCGACCUCAACCCACCUCCCUCCCCACCACCUCGGCCGUCCUCUCUCUCUCCCCCCUUCCGAAGUCCGAAUCCCAAUUCCAUUUACCCAAAUCCACAACCCAAACCAUCACUCCAUCAGAGAGAGUGAGGGAGAGGAGUGUCUGCGCCUCUCGCGCGCGCCCUCGCUCCAAUGCCGGCCUAGGCGGCGGGGCCAGGCACCGGCGCCGUCCGCCGGAGCAGCAAGCAGCGCCGCGGCUGCGGGGAGCUGCCGAACGAGAGGUGUAUCGUAGCGGGGCGGCGAUCCGGAGAAGCCGAGGAGGACGAGCAGGUGUGGCCGAGGCGGGGAUGGCGGCGGAGAAGGGGCGGUCGCUGGCGGAGACGCCCACCUGGUCGGUGGCCACCGUCACCACGCUCAUGGUCGCCGCCUGCUUCCUCGUCGAGCGCUCCCUCUCGCGCUUCGCCAAGUGGCUGCGCAAGACCAAGCGGAAGGCCAUGCUCGCCGCGCUCGAGAAGGUCCGCGAAGAGCUGAUGCUGCUCGGCGUCAUCUCGCUGCUGCUGAGCCAGACGUCGCGCUUCAUAUCCGAGAUCUGCGCGCCCUCGUCCCUUUUCACCAGCCGCUUCUACAUGUGCUCGGACAGCGACUACAGGGACCUUCUGCAGGAGGCGGGCGCCAACCAGACGGCCCUGGAGAAGACCAUGUUUGGCAGCCACUCGAUGCACGUCUGCAGCGAGGGCCAUGAGCCUUUUGUUUCAUACGAGGGCCUCGAUCAGCUGCAUCGGUUUUUGUUCAUCCUUGGUAUCACUCAUGUAGUGUACAGUUUUGUAACGGUGGUUCUGUCCAUGAUCAAGAUAUAUAGCUGGAGGAAAUGGGAGACGCUAGCUGGUCCGAUCGCUGCUGAGGAGAUGAAAGCUAGGAGAAACAGGGUGAUGCGAAGGCAGUCUACCUUUGUUUUUCACCAUGCUUCUCAUCCAUGGAGCAAAAACAAAAUACUUAUUUGGAUGUUGUGCUUUCUGUGUCAAUUCAAGGUUUCCAUCAAAAGGUCAGACUAUUUGGCACUGAGGUUGGGCUUUGUCACAUAUCACAAGCUACCACAUUCAUAUGACUUCCACAAAUACAUGGUUCGGAGCAUGGAAGAUGAUUACAAUGGGUCUAUUGGUAUCAGUUGGCCAUUUUGGGCGUAUGCGAUCGUAUGCAUAUUGGUCAAUGUUCAUGGUAUCAACAUAUAUUUCUGGCUAUCCUUUCUCCCUGUAAUUUUGGUCCUUCUAGUGGGUACUGAACUUCAGGUCUUCAGCACAUCAUCCCUCAGUUGGCUCUGGAAGUCGCAGAGGCAACAGCACCUUAUGUGGGCACACAACUCAAACUGCGCGAUGAUCUCUUUUGGUUUGGAAAACCUCGGGUCCUCUGGUGGCUCAUACAGUUCAUUUCAUUUCAGAAUGCCUUUGAGCUGGCAACAUUCUUAUGGUCUCUGUGGGAACUGAGUGCUCAAACAUGCUUCAUGAAGCACUACUACAUGAUUGUCAUCCGCUUGAUUUCUGGGCUGCUAGUUCAAUUUUGGUGCAGCUACAGCACACUGCCCCUUAACGUGAUUAUUUCUCAGAUGGGAUCCAAGUUCAAGAAGGCGCUGGUCUCGGAGAGCGUGAGGGAGUCGCUCCACAGCUGGUGCAAGAGGGUCAAGGACCGGAACCGGCACAGCUCGCUCUUUUCGCGGAACGGGACGGUCACGGCGAGGUCCGUGUGCUCCCUCGACACCACCUACGAGACCGACUACGAGACGAACACGGUGGGCACGCUGUCGAGGACGGCGUCGGCGACGUCGCUGGACGACCAGCUCACCGUCGGCACCGUCGACGACGACGACGAGCCGUCCGGCAUCGAGAAAGAUGUCUGACAUGUUGCUCAUCUGGUAAUCCCCUCAUUGCUCGACAGAGCUACACCUGCGUAAUAGGAGGUGCUGAUUCGUGAAGAAAGGAGGACAGCACAAUCGGGCCUGCGCUGUGAUGAAAACAGAGCGCUAUCGCUUUCCAAAGUGUACAAAACAAAAAACUUUGAGAAUUCUGACAAAACUAAAAGAAAGUUUCUCCAAUUCUACGAGGAACUAGAAAACCCAAAAA